UUCAGGUAUGAUUCUCCAUGGUCAUGCUUCUCAUGUUCACCUGGAAGUUUAUUGAUGGGAGGGAAGCCACUUCUGCUUUGAUGAUUUCUUGGAAGUUCAGGUUAAAACACUUUCGCUCUUAAAGUCUGUUUAUCAAUUCUUUGGAUAACCUAUUCAAUGAUUGGUCUUGAUUUUCAUACAGCUAGGUGAAUUUACAAUACAAGUCAGAUUAUUUGCGAGAGAAUUUCAUUCCCUAGAAUCAUUGUCAUUCUUGUUGCCUACAAGGUACUUGAAGAAAAUGCCCGAGACAUAUUUUAAGGAGUAUAACUCAGCACUAAGGCUAUUAUUACAAC
rnacentral:lncRNA from 1 species